GAGUUUGAUCGUGGCUCAGAUUGAACGCUGGCGGCAGGCCUAACACAUGCAAGUCGAGCGGAUGAAGGGAGCUUGCUCCUGGAUUCAGCGGCGGACGGGUGAGUAAUGCCUAGGAAUCUGCCUGGUAGUGGGGGAUAACGUCCGGAAACGGGCGCUAAUACCGCAUACGUCCUGAGGGAGAAAGUGGGGGAUCUUCGGACCUCACGCUAUCAGAUGAGCCUAGGUCGGAUUAGCUAGUUGGUGGGGUAAAGGCCUACCAAGGCGACGAUCCGUAACUGGUCUGAGAGGAUGAUCAGUCACACUGGAACUGAGACACGGUCCAGACUCCUACGGGAGGCAGCAGUGGGGAAUAUUGGACAAUGGGCGAAAGCCUGAUCCAGCCAUGCCGCGUGUGUGAAGAAGGUCUUCGGAUUGUAAAGCACUUUAAGUUGGGAGGAAGGGCAGUAAGUUAAUACCUUGCUGUUUUGACGUUACCAACAGAAUAAGCACCGGCUAACUUCGUGCCAGCCGCCGCGGUAAGACCG
rnacentral:rRNA from 1 species